CCCAGGACCAGCAGCAUCCAGGGACGGCGUCAGCAACCAGGCGGGAGCCUGGGGACAAAUGGAAGUUCAGAGCUAAGCCAUGAGCCAGGAAUCAGCCAGCUCACUAUUGGUCACAACUAACCUGAAGCCAGAAGGCAUAGAGGCCUGUUGAUAAAGUACAUAGAAGCCAAGCUCCUGAGGCAGAGACCAGGAUGGAGAAAGAUGGAGAACACAUCUGGAUGGAAAGGAAAGAUACUGCAGCAAGCAGAAUAACGGGCCGUAUUAGGCAGCUGAGCAAGAAGCAGAGCAACCAGAGUUCCUCCCUCUAGAAAAGAAUCAUGCAUCAAGUUUCUGUAAAGUAAGCCUUAAAAAGAGAUGCUACAUCAAAAAGGAGAUGCAGUGAGACACACCAUCAAGGGGCACCUAAGGAUGCCACUCUGUCUGCACUGAAGAGACGGUGUGACACCUGGGGAUAAACUGGACAUGUAGCA
rnacentral:lncRNA from 1 species